AGUGGAAUUCCACGUGUAGCGGUGAAUGCGUAGAGAUGUGGAGGAACACCAGUGGCGAGGGCGACUCUCUGGUCUGUAACUGACGGUGAGGAGCGAAAGCGUGGGGAGCAAACAGGAUUAGAUACCCUGGUUGUCCCACGCCGUAAACGGUGAGUGCUAAGUGUUAGGGGGUUUCCCGCCCCUUAGUGCUGCAGCUAACGCAUUAAGCACUCCGCCUGGGGAGUACGGUCCCAAGACUGAAACUCAAAGGAAUUGAGGGGGGCCCGCACAAGCGGGGGGGCAUGGGGUUUAAUUGGAAGCAACGGGAAGAACCUUCCCAGGUCUUGACAUCUUUUGACAAUCCAAGAGAUAGGAUUUCCCCUUCGGGGGCAGAAUGACCGGUGGUGCCUGGUUGUUGUCAGCUUGUGUUCUGAGAUGUUGGGUUAAGUUCCGCAACGAGCGCAACCCUUGAUUUUAGUUGCCAGCCUUCAGUUGGGCCAUUUAAGGUGAACGCCGGUGACAAACCGGAGGAAGGUGGGGAAGAAGUCAAAUCAUCCUGCCCCUUAUGACCUGGGGUACACACCUGGUACAAAGGACAGAACAAAGGGCAGCGAAACCGCGAGGUUAAGCCCAUUCCACAAAUACCUUUUCAAUUUGGAUUGCUGUGUGCAAAUUGACUGCGUGAAGGCGGGAUCGGUUGUUAUCGGGGAUCAGCCAGCCGCGGGGAAUACGUUCCCGGGCCUUGUACACACCGCCCGUCACACCCCGAGAGUUUGUAACACCCGAAGUCGGUGAGGUACCUUAAGAGCCAGCCGCCGAAG
rnacentral:rRNA from 1 species